ACCUCGAUAGCUCAGUUGGUAGAGCGGAGGACUGUAGGUCCUUAGGUCGCUGGUUCAAAUCCGGCGUGAGGGA
rnacentral:tRNA from 1 species